GUUUCUGUAGUUAAAUUAGGUAACGGUGGCUUUUCGGGCCGCAGUUCUUGGGUUAAUCCAAGCAGGAACU
rnacentral:tRNA from 1 species